AGCUUGACUAGCCCAUCCUAUUUCCUUCCCACCGGUUUCUACACAUUUCAAGCAACCUUGUUCGAAAAUGGAAACAUUUAUUUCGUCUACGGCGAUAUCCCAAAUGCGACGGAACCACACGCAUUUAAAGAUUUUGUCCACGUGGGCCUUUUCAACACUUUCAAGGACGAGACCUCGAAGAAACUUCGGAUCCAAAGGAACGAUUUGGGCGACAUGGACCGCUCUCGCAUUCAACCAGCAGCCGCGUUAUUCCUUUCGCCCAUACCUGCCUGCUGGAAUUAUAAAAAAUGUUUCGCCUGCACUUCUUCGAUGUUUCUGCAUUGUGCGUGGUGCCCGCAGGCCAGCUUGUGUUCUGACGCCUCGGACGGAUCAGACAACUCGUGGGUGGAGAGCGGAUGUCACAUCCGAAAUGUUACAGAAGGGCAAGAGUGCUCCCUCGGUUCGAGAGUGGAAAAUUGAU